GACGGGGGAUGCAAGCGUUAUCCGGAAUCACUGGGCGUAAAGCGUCUGUAGGUGGAGAUGCAAGUCACUGGUGCAAAACUCUGGCUCAACCGGAGGAAAGCCAGUGAAACUGCAUGACUAGAGUGUGGGAGAGGUAGAAGGAAUUCCCUGAGUAGCGGUGAAAUUCGUAGAUACAGGUAAGAACACCGGAGGCGAAAGCGUUCUACUGGAACACAACUGACACUGAGAUACGAAAGCUAGGGGAGCAAAUGGG
rnacentral:rRNA from 1 species